AUUUGGUAGAGUGCCACCUUGCCAAGGUGGAGGUGGCGGGUUCGAGCCCCGUAAUCCGCU
rfam:Firmicutes bacterium CAG:272_52_7 Ley3_66761_scaffold_8487, whole genome shotgun sequence.